GAGAAGCUUAUCAAGAGCAACAGGUUUCUGAAAGAAUCUCAAGUCGCAGGGCAGCUCAAGAGAAAUGAAAAGCAGAUUAGGGCAAUCCUUGAGGAAGUGAGAUUGGCAUCCAAAGCGAUUCUACUGAUAAGACAGGCUGCCCUGAAAGAUCUCCUGGAGACUGAAAGCAAGCAGUACCUGGAAGAGUUAGCAGCGAUGGGAAAGACAUCCUAUAAGGAACGGAUCUGAGCUGAGACAGCUCAGAGUAACACUGCCAAUUCAAAAGCACCUAAAAGGGUAUUAAUCCAGUGAAUAGUAUUAAGGUUCACAAAUAAAUGCUUUCGUUAAACUGUAAAUCCAAA